GCCAUUGUCCCUGUCUGCUGAAAUAAGAGGC
rnacentral:piRNA from 1 species